rnacentral:rRNA from 1 species
UACGUAGGGUGCGAGCGUUAAUCGGAAUUACUGGGCGUAAAGCGUGCGCAGGCGGUUCGUUGUGUCGGCGGUGAAAGCCCCGGGCUCAACCUGGGAAUUGCCGUUGAAACUGGAGAGCUGGAGUGUGGCAGAGGGGGGUGGAAUUCCGCGUGUAGCAGUGAAAUGCGUUGAGAUGCGGAGGAACACCGAUGGCGAAGGCAGCCCCCUGGGCUGACACUGACGCUCAGGCACGAAAGCGUGGGGAGCAAACAGG